GCGGAACUCUUCCUUGACACUGUUUCAACAUUCACAUCCUAUGAGCUCAUGGAUUAUAAAACCUUUGUGACGUACACUGUGUAUGUCAGCAUGAUCGCCUUAGAAAGACCAGAUCUCAGGGAGAAGGUUAUUAAAGGAGCAGAGAUUCUUGAAGUGUUGCACAGUCUUCCAGCAGUUCGGCAGUAUCUGUUUUCACUCUAUGAAUGUCGUUACUCGGCUUUCUUCCAAUCAUUAGCUGUUGUGGAACAGGAAAUGAAGAAUGACUGGCUUUUUGCUCCUCACUAUCGGUACUAUGUGAGAGAGAUGAGAAUCCAUGCGUACAGCCAGCUGCUGGAAUCGUACAGAUCAUUAACCCUGGGCUAUAUGGCAGAAGCCUUCGCCGUUGGCGUGGAAUUCAUUGAUCAGGAACUCUCCAGAUUUAUUGCUGCUGGGAGACUACACUGCAAAAUAGAUAAAGUGAAUGAAAUAGUGGAAACCAACAUACCUGAUAGCAAGAACUGGCAGUACCAAGAAACUAUCAAGAAAGGAGAUCUGCUAGUAAACAGAGUUCAGAAACUUUCCAGAGUAAUUAAUAUGUAAAACCAUGUAAACAAAGGAAUUCCUUUAGAGAUAAUUAUUUGGAAUUUUUAUAGCUUACUUUACUUUGUGCCCAGUUCAACUCUAUAAAAUAAAUACUGAAUUGUUUCUUU